AACAAAGAAAAUGUUCUGGUUUAGGCAAAAGAUGUUUUCUUCAGAAUGUUUUCACUAACAGGGCAACAUUGUUCUCCUUGACCUAAAAGUAGUAUUUCACUGCAGAGGCAGAGCUCUUUGCAGCUCACUGCUGUGAAUGAAGACAGAUGGCAAUCAGAUUAAAGGUUUCUAAGGAAAGCUUGCAUUUUAUGUCAAGAUAAAAGCUGGCAGCAUCAGAUUCAUGGCAUCUUUUAUGGCUUAAGAAAAAUGGACCAAUGUACCUUUCUGGAAAUUCUCAGGGUACAAUAUUGUACAUAUUGUCACUUCUUCUUCCAAGGAUACAACAACGAAUAAGUUGCAGGUUUCCUACUAAGGUUUCCUACUAAGAUCUCUCAAUUUCCAUUUCAAGCACUGCUUAGAAGCUCUUUUAUUAUGUGUGAUACCAAAGACCUCAGCAGGAUCAAGACCCCAUGUUUAUAGUGCAUUAUAAAACUAAAAAAACCUAAAAAAACCCUAAAACCUGCUGCAUUAUAAAACUAAAAACUCCACAGGUAAACAUGAAAACAGUGUGUGAGUGAAAAGAGAAGUAAAUGCAUAGCAUAUUAGAUAGCUUGAGGUCCUUUUGGGUGAGUGAAAAUAAAAGUAAGCACAUAGUCUGUUAGACAGCUUGAAGAGCUUUAUUACAGGUUUCUGUUAGUACUGUAGGACCAUAUAGAAAUUUCCGUAUUUGUUAUAUACAUUUCUGAGAUGUAUAGUGAUUGGAUAAUUAUUAAAUUCUCUUAGUCACAUUAAUUUUUUUAAAUGUUAAUUAAAACAUCUAUUUCAAUAAAUUCUCCUCUCUUUUCAACAUUUAUAUAUCUCAGAAGCAAAAAUUCUUGUAAUUGUUUAGUGAAAUGAUGCUAAGAACUACAUAACAGUUAAGUGGUAUAAGACUGCAGCUCAUACUAUGUAUUAAUCAUGUUUUUCAACCAUUGGUAACAUAUGGUGUUAUGAUUAUAUCAAAUAUGUUUACAAAAGAUGUGAACAGGUGCUAAUGCUCAUGUUCCAGAUGUUGACAGGACUUAACAAGAUGUUCCCUUUUACCAAACUCUGUCCCACAGACAAGACUUGAAAAAUACUUUAAAUUAUGGCAAAGAAAUUUUUCAAAUAAAAUUCUUCCUGAUGUUUUC
ensembl:lncRNA